AAGACCUUGCGCUUUUGGAGCGGCCGAUGCCUKAUUAGCUUGUUGGUAAGGUAAAAGCUUACCAAGGCUUCGAUCAGUAGCUGGUCUGAGAGGACGGCCAGCCACACUGGGASUGAGACACGGCCCAGACUCCUACGGGAGGCAGCAGUGGGGAAUUUUGGACAAUGGGGGCAACCCUGAUCCAGCCAUGCCGCGUGAGUGAAGAAGGCCUUCGGGUUGUAAAGCUCUUUCAGCCGGAACGAAACGGUUACGGUUAAUACCCGUGAUUACUGACGGUACCGGAAGAAGAAGCACCGGCUAACUACGUGCCAGCAGCCGCGGUAAUACGUAGGGUGCGAGCGUUAAUCGGAAUUACUGGGCGUAAAGCGUGCGCAGGUGGUUUUGUAAGUCAGAUGUGAAAGCCCCGGGCUCAACCUGGGAACU
rnacentral:rRNA from 1 species